AGUAAAUAGAUACCCUGGUAGUCCACGCCGUAAACGAUGAGUACUAGGUGUAGGAGGUAUCGACUCCUUCUGUGCCGCAGUUAAACACAAUAAGUACUCCGCCUGGGAAGUACGGUCGCAAGAUUAAAACUCAAAGGAAUUGACGGGGGCCCGCACAAGCAGCGGAGCAUGUGGUUUAAUUCGAAGCAACGCGAAGAACCUUACCUAGACUUGACAUCCCCUGAAUAACGUAGAGAUACGCGAAGCCCUUCGGGGCAGGGAGCAGGUGGUGCAUGGUUGUCGUCAGCUCGUGUCGUGAGAUGUUGGGUUAAGUCCCGCAACGAGCGCAACCCUUAUCAUUAGUUGCUACCAUUUAGUUGAGCACUCUAGUGAGACUGCCCGGGUUAACCGGGAGGAAGGCGGGGAUGACGUCAAAUCAUCAUGCCCCUUAUGUCUAGGGCUACACACGUGCUACAAUGGUGAGAACAACGAGAUGCAAUACCGCGAGGUGGAGCAAAAACUUCAAAACUCAUCUCAGUUCGGAUUGUAGGCUG
rnacentral:rRNA from 1 species